UACGUAGGGUCCGAGCGUUGUCCGGAUUUAUUGGGCGUAAAGAGCUCGUAGGCGGCUUGCUAAGUCAGGUGUGAAACCUCCAGGCUCAACCUGGAGCCGCCACCUGAUACUGGUAUGGCUAGAGUCCGGUAGGGGACCACGGAAUUCCUGGUGUAGCGGUGAAAUGCGCAGAUAUCAGGAGGAACACCGGUGGCGAAGGCGGAUCUCUGGGCCUGUUCUGACGCUGAGGCGCGAAAGCUAGGGGAGCGAACGGG
rnacentral:rRNA from 1 species